AGCAGCCGCGGUAAUUCCAGCUCCAAUAGCGUAUAUUAAAGUUGUUGCAGUUAAAAAGCUCGUAGUUGAAUUUCGGGAUCGACGGUCGGUCGCGCCUCUGGUGUGUACUGGCCCUGUCGGUUUCUCCCUUCUGACGAACCACGAUGUCAUUAAUUUGGUGUCGUGGGGAAUCAGGACUGUUACUUUGAAAAAUUAGAGUGUUUAAAGCAGGCAUUCGCUUGAAUACAUUAGCAUGGAAUAAUGAAAUAGGACGUUUGAUCUUAUUUUGUUGGUUUCUAAGAUCGACGUAAUGAUUAAUAGGGAUAGUUAGGGGCAUUAGUAUUCAAUUGUCAGAGGUGAAAUUCUUGGAUUUAUUGAAGACUAACUACUGCGAAAGCAUUUGCCAAGGAUGUUUUCAUUAAUCAAGAACGAAAGUUAGGGGAUCGAAGACGA
rnacentral:rRNA from 1 species